CAAGAGCAGGUUUGCUGUCAGCGCAGCCUCCUCUUGCCACUGUCUCCUCAUGCUUGCUCACUUGCCCUUCCGGCCCAUUAUUACACAGCAAGGAGGCUCUCACCAGAUGCUGAACAGAUGCCAGUGCCAUGCUCUUGGACUUCCUGCCCUCUAGGAUUGUGAGCCAAAAUUUCUUCCCUUGGGUUUAGGGGCCAGCUAGACAAACGCACCAAGACCACACACAGAUUCUAAGACAACAGGAGCAUGUGUGAAGGCACGAAUAGCCAGGAGGGCAGAGCUCUAGUGCCUCCAGCACCAAGGCUUGGGAGUUACAGACUCCCAGAGUGCCGGGAUGACAGGCCCGUGCCACCACAUCCAGCAAGAACCAGAACACAAGUAGCUCCUGGACAAAGAUCUCCAACUCCAUCUUUCCUCUCAUAUUUCUCAAAACAUUCAAAUAGAUGACCAAUUUUUCCCAGAUGACUAGACAACUAGACACAACAAAAGCAGCC
rnacentral:lncRNA from 1 species